UGGGUAACCUGCCUUAUAGUGGGGGAUAGCCUUUCGAAAGGAAGAUUAAUACCGCAUAAGAUUGUAGUAUCGCAUGAUAUAGCAAUUAAAGGAGCAAUUCGCUAUAAGAUGGACCCGCGUCGCAUUAGCUAGUUGGUGAGGUAAUGGCUCACCAAGGCGACGAUGCGUAGCCGACCUGAGAGGGUGAUCGGCCACAUUGGGACUGAGACACGGCCCAGACUCCUACGGGAGCAGCAUG
rnacentral:rRNA from 1 species